GACAGAGGGUGCAAACGUUGUUCGGAAUUACUGGGCGUAAAGCGUGUGUAGGCGGUCUCGUAAGUCGGGUGUGAAAGCCCUGGGCUCAACCCAGGAAGUGCACUCGAAACUGCGAGGCUAGAGUACUGGAGAGGUUGGUGGAAUUCUCGGUGUAGAGGUGAAAUUCGUAGAUAUCGAGAGGAACACCGGUGGCGAAGGCGGCCAACUGGACAGAUACUGACGCUGAGACACGAAAGCGUGGGGAGCAAACAGGAUUAGAAACCCCAGUAGUCC
rnacentral:rRNA from 1 species